rnacentral:tRNA from 1 species
AGGGGUGUAGCUCUAACGGUAGAGCGAACGACUCCAAAUCGUUAGGUUGUGGGUUCGAAUCCCCCCGCCCCUGCCA